rnacentral:rRNA from 1 species
UACAGAGGUGGCAAGCGUUGUUCGGAAUUACUGGGCGUAAAGGGCGCGUAGGCGGUCCUGUAAGUCCUGUGUGAAAUCCCCCGGCUCAACUGGGGAAUUGCACGGGAAACUGCGGGGCUUGAGUUCGGGAGAGGGAAGCGGAAUUCCGGGUGUAGCGGUGAAAUGCGGUAGAAUAUCCGGAGGAACACCGGUGGGCGAAGGCGGCUUCCUGGACCGACACUGACGCUGAGGCGCGAAAGCUAGGGGGAGCAAACGGG